AGUGAACGCUGGCGGUAGGCCUAACACGUGCAAGUCGAACGGCAGCACAGUAAGAGCUUGUUCUUACGGGUGGCGAGUGGCGGACGGGUGAGGAAUACAUCGGAAUCUACUUUUUCGUGGGGGAUAACGUAGGGAAACUUACGCUAAUACCGCAUACGACCUACGGGUGAAAGCAGGGGAUCUUCGGACCUUGCGCGAUUGAAUGAGCCGAUGUCGGAUUAGCUAGUUGGCGGGGUAAAGGCCCACCAAGGCGACGAUCCGUAGCUGGUCUGAGAGGAUGAUCAGCCACGCUGGAACUGAGACACGGUCCAGACUCCUACGGGAGGCAGCAGUGGGGAAUAUUGGACAAUGGGCGCAAGCCUGAUCCAGCCAUACCGCGUGGGUGAAGAAGGCCUUCGGGUUGUAAAGCCCUUUUGUUGGGAAAGAAAAGCAGCAGGUUAAUACCCCGCUGUUCUGACGGUACCCAAAGAAUAAGCACCGGCUAACUUCGUG
rnacentral:rRNA from 1 species